rnacentral:rRNA from 5 species
UGGUGACUAUAGCAAGGAGGUCACACCUGUUCCCAUGCCGAACACAGAAGUUAAGCUCCUUAGCGUCGAUGGUAGUCGAACUUACGUU